rnacentral:rRNA from 1 species
UUGGCUUAGAAGCAGCCAUACAUUUAAAGAGUGCGUAAUAGCUCACUGGUCGAGUGGGUCUGCGCCGAAAAUGUCCGGGGCUCAAGCUGUCAACCGAAGCCGCGGAACUCUAAUCUAGGGUUGGUAGGGGAGCGUUGCCUGCUGGUUGAAGCACGACCGAAAGGACGUGUGGACGGCAGGGAAGUGAGAAUGCCGGUAUGAGUAGCGAAAAGGCAGGUGAGAAUCCUGCCCGCCGGAAGCCUAAGGUUUCCUGAGGAAGGUGCGUCCUCUCAGGGUGAACCGGGGCCUAAGCCGAGGCCGAAGGGCGUAGGCGAUGGAUAACGGGUUGAAAUUCCCGUGCUGCCUCGGUCGCGCUUGAGCGAAGCGGGGACGCAGAAGGGUAGGCACAGCAGGCUGAUGGAAUAGCCUGUCCAAGCGAGUAGGGCGCCGCGUAGGCAAAUCCGCGCGGCGGAAAGCCCAAGACGCGAGUGGGUGCGGAUACGUCCGCUGAACUGGCCGAUCCCAAGCUGCCAAGAAAAGCCGCUAGCGAGCGACCAGGCACCCGUACCGCAAACCGACACAGGUAGGCGAGGAGAGGAUCCUAAGGCGCGCGAGAGAACCCUCGUUAAGGAACUCGGCAAAAUGGCCCCGUAACUUAGGGAUAAGGGGCGCCCCGUCAGGGUGAGGAGCAACACGCUUUGAGCCCGAGGGGGCCGCAGUGAAACGGCCCGAGCGACUGUUUACCACAAACACAGGUCUCUGCUAAGUCGCAAGACGAAGUAUAGGGGCUGACGCCUGCCCAGUGCCGGAAGGUUAAGGGGAGGGCUUAGCGCAAGCGAAGGUCUGAACCGAAGCCCCGGUGAACGGCGGCCGUAACUAUAACGGUCCUAAGGUAGCGAAAUUCCUUGUCGGGUAAGUUCCGACCUGCACGAAUGGCGUAACGACUUGGGCGCUGUCUCAACGAGGGACUCGGCGAAACUGUAAGUGCACGUGAAGAUACGUGCUACCCACGACUAGACGGAAAGACCCCAUGGAGCUUUACUGCAUCCUGAGAUUGGAUUUUGGCAGGGCAUGUACAGGAUAGGUGGGAGGCUGAGAAGCAACGACGCUAGUGGUUGCGGAGCCACCCUUGGGAUACCACCCUUGUUUUGCUGGAGUUCUAACCCGCGGCCGUAAUCCGGCUGGGGGACAUUCUCAGGUGGGCAGUUUGACUGGGGCGGUCGCCUCCUAAAAGGUAACGGAGGCGCCCCAAGGUUCCCUCAGCGCGGUUAGAAAUCGCGCGCAGAGUGCAAAGGCAGAAGGGAGCUUGACUGCGAGACGUACAUGUCGAGCAGGGACGAAAGUCGGGCUUAGCGAUCAGGUGGUUCCGAGUGGAAGGGCCAUCGCUCAACGGAUAAAAGCUACCCUGGGGAUAACAGGCUUAUCUCUCCCAAGAGUCCAUAUCGACGGGGAGGUUUGGCACCUCGAUGUCGGCUCGUCGCAUCCUGGAGCUGAAGUAGGUUCCAAGGGUUGGGCUGUUCGCCCAUUAAAGCGGCACGCGAGCUGGGUUCAGAACGU